AAAUACAAAUUAAACAUGAAAAAACUCUACUUCAAAAAAACUAACAGUUCAAGAAAAGCCCAUCCAGUUGCAUUCUAGACAUUUAAAACCUAUACCACAAUAUAAAUUUCAAUGGUAAAAACGGUAGGUUUUAGAAUUGUUUUGUGAUCCUAUAUCAAAAGAAAAGUUCUAUUCCUUUUAUUUUUUUAAACAUACCAGCGAGAAUCAAAAUUGUCAAAUUUUCCAAUGGCAAUUUCUCCACACCAGAAAGUGGUUGUGACUCUCAAAGAAGUAACAAUUUGGGGUUUUCCUGCCUUCAAAAUGUUAUCAAAUCCUGUAUUUCUCACAGGCUUUUGAAACACACAGAAAGUAAGAAAUAUUCCAAUGAAUGAAACGUACCAAAUGUCAGUAAUACGCAAGACACAUUCCUUUGGGGAAAUGGCUGUUAGGAAAAAAAUCCAGUCUGUACAUGCAAAAUAAGCAAGGAAAUUCAGUCUUUCUUUCUUCUUCUUCUUGAAAAAUCCGUUACUCCUAAAAUAUCAUUCCACAAAAUUGGAAGUGAAAGACUAAAGGUCAGGAAAGGGAAGAGAGGGAGAAGGAGCACACAUCAUUAACACACAAAAGAAGUAAAAUUAUACUAACUUAAGCAGUUUAUAACAAACUGGGGUCAUACUCCAAGAUACCAAAGGCUGGUCAAAGAAAUUCACCAUUCUGUAGGAGCUAGGGUUUGUAUGGCCGCGUGAAGAUCCAUGAAGAUUCACUGCCAUGGAGCAAGCCUUCUUCCCACUCCAAAUCCUGCUUUCUGCACCAUGCCUCCAUGAGGAGGGCCUCUCAUUCCACCACCCAGCCCACAUAGAGGGCCUCCAGGUCCCCUAAGGCGAUCAUCUCGUCAGUCCCCUUCCCUGGCAGCUCGAGUCUUCUUCUCUUCCACAUUCAGACAGACCUCACCUCUGAACAUGAUGGGCCUGUUGCGAAGGACCUUCUGAACAGGCUCAGAAUCAUCAAAACAAAACCAAAACUGGGUAAUUUCCCACCACUGUUAAUGUGCAACUCCACCACGUUCCCAUAAUUUUGAAAGAAAUCUUUAAGCUCUGAUUUGUCCACUUCAUGAGGCAGGUUGCCAAUGAAGAGUUGGUGACUGUCAGGGUGUCUCACCACUCUUUGGGGUUCAAUGUCACCUUGCUCACCAGCCUCACAGAUCGGUCUGGGUCCCCUUUGGGGAGGAAUAUUUCUUCGUUGUUCUCACAUCCUUUGAUCCCUUUGAGGUUUCUGUGGUGGAAUCUGAGAUUCAGGCUUAGACUCUGUACAGGGCUGUGAAGCUAGUACUUUACCAACAUAAGGAGGUAUCCCAGUAACUGGAACAGCUCCACUGGGUUGAAGGUUGUUACUGGUCACAGAUGCCCAAGAAAAUGUCCUCAAGUCUUCCCAUACUGUCUGAGAUAUGUCUGCAGGUGCUGGAGAAGAACUCUUCUGAGCAUCCUCAGGAGCAGUUUCUUCUAAUACUAGCUCAGACUUUUCCUCUUGGAUUUCAGAUACACAUUCUUGUUCUGGUUCUGGCUCAGGAUCAGGCUCCAGUUCAGCAACUGGCUCCUCUAAAUGUUCUUCCACGUCAUUACUGACAACUGCCUGAUCACAGAAAGUUCCAGAAUCAUCAGGUACCACCUGAGGUGUUUGCUGUCUUUUCUUCACGUUCCUCUACUACUUCUUCAGACUCCUCCUGAGGCUCAGUG
rnacentral:lncRNA from 1 species